AUACGGAGGAUUCGAGCGUUAUCCGGAAUCAUUGGGUUUAAAGGGUCUGUAGGCGGCUUUGUAAGUCAGUGGUGAAAUCUUCCGGCUCAACCGGGAAACUGCCAUUGAUACUGCGGAGCUUGAAUAAUCGGGAAGUAACUAGAAUAUGUAGUGUAGCGGUGAAAUGCUUAGAUAUUACAUGGAAUACCAAUUGCGAAGGCAGGUUACUAUCGGUUUAUUGACGCUGAUGGACGAAAGCGUGGGGAGCGAACAGGAUUAGAUACCCUGGUAGUCCACGCCGUAAACGAUGGACACUAGCUGCUGGGGGUAACUUCAGUGGCUAAGCGAAAGUGAUAAGUAUCCCACCUGGGGAGUACGUUCGCAAGAAUGAA
rnacentral:rRNA from 1 species